rnacentral:rRNA from 1 species
UCGGUCCUGUCCGUAGUCUUGCGCUAGUCUCAAAGAUUCAACCAGGCAUGUGUAAGUAUAAAUAAUUUUACUUUGAAACUGCGAAUGGCUCAUUAUAUCAGUUAUAGUUUAUUAGAAAUACUUUACUACUUGGAUAACCGUAGUAAUUCUAGGGCUAAUACAUGAAUAAAUCCUCAACUUCGGAAGAGGUGUGUUUAUUAGUAUGAAAACCAUAUAUCUUCGGAUAUAAUAGUGAGUAAUAAUAACCUUUCGUAUCGUAUGUCGUAAGAUAACGAUAGUUCUUUCAAGUUUCUGCCCUAUCAGCUUUCGAUGGUAGUAUAUGGGACUACCAUGGCAGUAACGGGUAACGAAGAAUUUGGGUUCGAUUUCGGAGAGGGAGCCUGAGAGAUGGCUACCACAUCCAAGGAAGGCAGCAGGCGCGUAAAUUACCCAAUCCUGACAUAGGGAGGUAGUGACAAUAAAUCACAAUGCGGAACUAUUUAGUUUUGCAAUUGGAUUGAGAACAAUGUACAAAUGUUAUCGAUAAACAAUUGGAGGGCAAGUCUGGUGCCAGCAGCCGCGGUAAUUCCAGCUCCAAUAGCGUAUAUUAACGUUGUUGCAGUU